UACGUAGGGUGCAAGCGUUAUCCGGAAUUAUUGGGCGUAAAGAGCUCGUAGGCGGUUUGUCGCGUCUGCUGUGAAAACCCGAGGCUCAACCUCGGGCCUGCAGUGGGUACGGGCAGACUAGAGUGCGGUAGGGGAGAUUGGAAUUCCUGGUGUAGCGGUGGAAUGCGCAGAUAUCAGGAGGAACACCGGUGGCGAAGGCGGUUCUCUGGGCCUGACCUGACGCUGAGGAGCGAAAGCGUGGGGAGCGAACAGG
rnacentral:rRNA from 1 species